rnacentral:rRNA from 1 species
AGCUGAUCUCAGGUAAGAGGACCCGCUGAAUUUAAGCAUAUUACUAAGCGGAGGAAAAGAAACUAACCAGGAUUCCCCUAGUAACGGCGAGUGAAGCGGGAUCAGCUCAAUGUGAAAAGCUGGCGCCCUCGGCGUCCGCGUUGUAACCUGGGUUGGAACUCUUUGGGGGCUUCGGGUGCAAGUCGUUGUUGAAAUAGCGCGCCGGAGAGGGUAACAGCCCCGUCCCGUCCGAAACGCCCCCUCAAAGAGGCUUAACCCGUGAGUCGUGUUGCUUGGGACUGCAGCGCUAAUCGGGAGGUAAUAUCCUUCCAAGGCUAAAUAUUUGCGGAAGACCGAUAGCGAACAAGUACCGUGAGGGAAAGAUGAAAAGAACUUUGAAGAAAAAGUGAAAUAGUAUGUAAAAUCGUUGGAAGCAAGCGAAUCAGUCCGUCACGCCUUCCAUCUUAGGGCUCGCCCCUGAGUAGGCCGCAGGAUUGUUUGGGACCUGGCUAGGAGGCUCGCCCUCGCUCGGUGUUCGGCCGUGGCUGUAGCCCAGUCAGGUCCGGAUCAAGGACAACAACAACGUUGAGCCCCGCGUCCCCGGACGCUGCUCGACCAAGAUCCUGUUGACUUUUAUUACCGGACUGAUCCGACCCGUCUUGAAACACGGACCAAGGAGUCUGACAUGUGUGCGAGUAUUAGGGUGGAAAACCCCGAUGCGCAGAGAAAUCGAUAUUGUCAUAUCCCUAAUGGGUGCACGACAGACAGAGCGUUGAUCUCCUGAUCAGUGCCUAGUAAGAGCAUUCAUGCCGGGACCCGAAAGAUGGUGAACUAUGCUUGUGCAGGGUAAAGUCAGAGGAAACUCUGAUGGAAGCUCGAAGCGAUACUGACGUGCAAAUCGUUCGUCUGACAUGAGUAUAGGGGCGAAAGACUAAUCGAACCAUCUAGUAGCUGGUUCCCUCCGAAGUUUCCCCCAGGAUAGCUGGAAUUCACUGUGAGUUUUAUCAGGUAAAGCGAAUGAUUAGAGGACUUGGGGAUGAAACAUCCUCAGCCUAUUCUCAAACUUUAAAUGGGUAAGAUGCAAGUAGUUGCUUAGCUGAACUCUUGCGUUGAAUCAGGAUUCUUAGUGGGCCAUUUUUGGUAAGCAGAACUGGCGAUGUGGGAUGCACCAGACACUAGGUUAAGGGGCCUAAGUACUCGCUCAUUCAGAUAUCAUAAAGGGUGUUGGUUCAUUUAGACAGCAGGACGGUGGUCAUGGAAGUCGAAAUCCGCUAAGGAGUGUGUAACAACUCACCUGCCGAAUGAACUAGCCCCGAAAAUGGAUGGCGCUCAAGCGAGUCCCCGAAACCGGGUCAUUGGGGUAAACACGAUGCCCCAAUGAGUAGGAGGGCGCGUUGGUGGCCCUGAAGGCGCGGGCGCAAGCCCCGCUUUGAGCCGCCAAUGGUGCAGAUCUUGGUGUUAGUAGCAAAUAUUUAAAUGAAAACUUUGAAGACCGAAGUGGAGAAAGGUUUCACGGCAACAUCAUUUGGACGUGAGUGAUUCGAUCCUAAGGUAUUCCGUAUGGGAUUCAGAAGGCGCGAUUUAUCGCGCCAUCGGCCAAAAGGGAAAUCGGUUAAUAUUCCGAUAGAAGGUUAAAGGGCUGAGCGGCGACGCUGUCAGAACCUGGUGACGGUUGCGCGGGCCCCGGGAAGAGUUGUCUUUUCUUUUUAACAAUCGCGUCGCGUCUGAAAUGGAAUUAUCCCUAGAUAGACGGGACGCGGUGGCAGAGCGGCUGACUUCAUCAGCCGUCCGGUGCGCUCGCGAUGCUCCUUGAAAAGCCAGGGGCGUGCAUGCUCCAAGACCUAGUCGUACUCAUAACCGCAUCAGGUCUCCAAGGUUAAAAGCCUCUGGUCAAUAGAAUAAUGUAGGUAAGGGAAGUCGGCAAAUUGGUUCCGUAAGUUCGCGAUAUGGAAUGGCUCGUUAGACUGGAUGGUAGAGGCUCGGUUCAUGAAAGUUGCUAGCCUUCAGGGCUGGCUAGCGCCUCCUCGGGGGUGCGGGCCGGACUUGGUCGGUAGGCGACCGUAGGGGCCGAGACAGCGCGCGGGCUUUCGGGACCGCGUUGCGUUCUCGCCAUAACAAGCAGUCAAUAACGAACUCGUAGUGACCACAGGAACCCGACUGUUUAAUUAAAACAAAGCAUUGCGAUGGUCGCAAGUCGAUGUUGACGCAAUGUGAUUUCUGCCCAGUGCUCUGAAUGUCAAAGUGAUGUAAUUCCUCCAAGCGCGGGUAAACGGCGGGAGUAACUAUGACUCUCUUAAGGUAGCCAAAUGCCUCGUCAUCUAAUUAGUGACGCGCAUGAAUGGAUCAACGAGGUUCCUACUGUCCCUAUCUACUAUCUAGCGAAACCACAGCCAAGGGAACGGGCUUGGGAGUAACGGCGGGGAAAGAAGACCCUGUUGAGCUUGACUCUAGUCUGACAUUGUGAAAUGACCUGAUUGGUGCAGCAUAAGCGGGAGGGCAACCGACAGUGAGAUACCGCUACUUUCAGCGUUGUUUUACUUACCCGGUAAGCAUUCGCGGGCACUUUUGCCCAUUUCUAGCUUUAAGGUCGCCUUCGGGAGGCCGAGAAUCGUCGUGGACACUGUCAGGUGGGGAGUUUGGCUGGGGCGGCACAUCUGUUAAAUGAUAACACAGGUGACCCAAGAUCAGCUCAGAGAGAACGGAAAUCUCUCGUUGAGUUUAAGGGCAAAAGCUGAUUUGACUUUCAGUUUCAGUAGAUCUGGAAGCAGUGAAAGCUCAGGCCUAGCGAUCCUUUAGAUCCUCGGAUAUUGAGGCUAGAGGUGUCAGAAAAGUUACCACAGGGAUAACUGGCUUGUGGCAGCCAAGCGUUCAUAGCGACGUUGCUUUUUGAUUCUUCGAUGUCGGCUCUUCCUACCCCUUUCUCGCAUAAGGGAAAAAAGGUAAGAUGUCAC